UAAAAAUAAUAAUAAUUCAGUGUGUUUUUUUAUUUAAUUACAGCUGCAUAGCUAAUGUUAUUAUUUGGUGUACAAACACUUUUUCAUAUCAAUAUUGUACAUACAUGUGAUUGUAAAAGUUUUGUAUAUUUUGGUUUGGCCCAUCGCGGGUUAUCUGUAUAUCCGUACCCCCUCAUUGUUCUCUUUUGCCUGACCUUCGGCAUAGCAAGGGCAAAUAAAAAUAAUUCAACCAGCAGACCUCCAGUUGUGGCAGUGUCCUAAUUAAAAGUACACAACGCAGAACGAACCACGCUACACGUGCAUUGGAGAGACAGAUGCCAACAAGAUAAAAAUACAUUUGAAAUGUCUUUAUUAGUUUGGAACUUUUACAGCCAGAAACAGAAUUACCCACCAAACCAGGACCAAGCGGCGGAAGAGGAAGGAGCAGCAGGACUACUGCGUUAUGGACAAAUGGACAUGGGAACAGAUCCUGGACGGAGAGGGACCAUGGACUCAGGCUGGGGAUUAUCGCCUCCCGCAGUGGGAGAUUGAAGCGGCGAGAGCGGAGAGGCGAUACUACGAGGAGAGAGAGCGCAACGAGCGCGAGAGGCAGCCCCAAUAUUUUUUUGGGGGGGGGCACACGGGACAGUCGGUGGAGCUGAGGUCGGAACCAGAGCCAGUCGGGAUGACAUUGGAGGUGAGCGAGGGCUAUGAGACAGAG
rnacentral:lncRNA from 1 species